rnacentral:rRNA from 1 species
UAAUACAUGCAAGUCGAGCGAAUGAUUAGAGAAGCUUGCUUCUCUCUGAUUUAGCGGCGGACGGGUGAGUAACACGUGGGUAACCUACCCUAUAGACUGGGAUAACUUCGGGAAACCGGAGCUAAUACCGGAUAAUACUUCGAAACACAUGUUUUGAAGUUGAAAGAUGGUUUCGGCUAUCACUAUAGGAUGGACCCGCGGCGCAUUAGCUAGUUGGUGAGGUAACGGCUCACCAAGGCAACGAUGCGUAGCCGACCUGAGAGGGUGAUCGGCCACACUGGGACUGAGACACGGCCCAGACUCCUACGGGAGGCAGCAGUAGGGAAUCUUCCACAAUGGACGAAAGUCUGAUGGAGCAACGCCGCGUGAGUGAAGAAGGAUUUCGGUUCGUAAAACUCUGUUGCAAGGGAAGAACAAGUAGCGUAGUAACUGGCGCUACCUUGACGGUACCUUGUUAGAAAGCCACGGCUAACUACGUGCCAGCCGCGGC